AGCGAACGCUGGCGGCAGGCCUAACACAUGCAAGUCGAACGAACUCUUCGGAGUUAGUGGCGGACGGGUGAGUAACACGUGGGAACGUGCCUUUAGGUUCGGAAUAACUCAGGGAAACUUGUGCUAAUACCGAAUGUGCCCUUCGGGGGAAAGAUUUAUCGCCUUUAAAGCGGCCCGCGUCUGAUUAGCUAGUUGGUGAGGUAAAGGCUCACCAAGGCGACGAUCAGCAGCUGGUCUGAGAGGAUGACCAGCCACAUUGGGACUGAGACACGGCCCAAACUCCUACGGGAGGCAGCAGUGGGGAAUCUUGCGCAAUGGGCGAAAGCCUGACGCAGCCAUGCCGCGUGUAUGAUGAAGGUCUUAGGAUUGUAAAAUACUUUCACCGGUGAAGAUAAUGACUGUAGCCGGAGAAGAAGCCCCGGCUAACUUCGUGCCAGCAGCCGCCGUAAGAC
rnacentral:rRNA from 1 species